UACGUAGGGUGCUAGCGUUGUCCGGAAUCAUUGGGCGUAAAGCGCGUGUAGGCGGUCCGGUAAGUCCGCUGUGAAAGUCGGGGGCUCAACCCUCGGAUGCCGGUGGAUACUGUCGGGCUUGAGUACGGAAGAGGCGAGUGGAAUUCCUGGUGUAGCGGUGAAAUGCGCAGAUAUCAGGAGGAACACCAAUUGCGAAGGCAGCUCGCUGGGACGUAACUGACGCUGAGACGCGAAAGCGUGGGGAGCAAACAGG
rnacentral:rRNA from 1 species